rnacentral:rRNA from 1 species
UACGUAGGGCGCAAGCGUUGUCCGGAAUUAUUGGGCGUAAAGAGCUCGUAGGCGGUUUGUCGCGUCUGCUGUGAAAACCUAAGGCUCAACCUUGGGCUUGCAGUGGGUACGGGCAGACUAGAGUGUGGUAGGGGAGACUGGAAUUCCUGGUGUAGCGGUGGAAUGCGUUGAGAUCGGAAGGAACGCCCGUGGCGAAAAGCGAGGCCCUGGACCCUUUCUGACGCUGAGACGGCGAAAGCCAGGGGAGCGAACGGG